AUUCCUACAGAAAAUUUAUUAAAAUCUAAAAGAUUCUUUAAAGAAAUGCCUGGACAAACGAAGGGCCAUGACCAGAUCAGGUGCUCCUGCAGGAUGUCUACCUACAUGCAAAUAUUUUGAAGUGAUGCGUUUUCUUCAUGAGAAAACUUCCAAUUUGCCAACUCAUAGCAAUGUUGACAUAUCACCUGCAGCAUCCAGCCAUGUAAUUGAAACUGCUUGCUCUAUGUCACCAUUAUCGGUACCUGCAAGUCCAUGUUCUCUAACAACACCGACACCUGAAAGACCUAUUGAUGAAAAUACUUCAAAAAGCGUAAAAGACCUUCAUCUGAAAAAAGUGCUUAUGACCCAUUUUUGCAACAAAUCAAGCAAAUGGAUGAUCAACUAAUCAAAAUUGUUAACAAAGAGUCUGCGGAUGAUGAGGCUACAGCAUUUUGCAUGAGUCUUGUACCUGUGCUGAAAGACUUUGAUAAAAAAAGCUAAGAUUAGCAAAAAUUAAAACUCAACAACUUUUAUUUGACAUAGAAUUUGAUGAUCAAUGAGAUAAAAUAUGCAUUCAGUUUUUAACAAUAUAACAAUUUUGGUAUUUACAUGUUCUUAAGAUUUUUCCUAUUUUAAACAUGAAUUUUAUUUCUGUGUUGGUGACCUCAAAACAAGCAUCAUAGGUCUGAAAAAUUUGUUUGAAAAUAAUAUUUCACAUGUGGUGGGAAUCAUGAGAAUUCAUUACAUAAUAAAAGUGAUUAAACAUUGCUUUGAAUUGAUUACAAUUUAUCUUGAACUUUUUCUUGUGUUUGAAAAACUCAAUUUACUAAACUCAUUUUAACAUUUUGAUGAAUUCUCUUUUCUCAUCAUAUAUAAAAAACCUGUAUGCUUACAUAAAUAGACUAUAUAGAAUAUUGUUAAUUAAUGAAUAACAUUGUAUAUGUGAUAAUUGAUAUUCUGUUGCUUAGCCAAAUAAUGACAUUCCUGUAAAGCUUAACAAUUAUCUACAUUUUAUGAAUUUAUGUUAUUCAUUAGUUGUUUCCAAGUCCUAUUAAAAAACGAGAAUCUA